CCUACGGGAGGCAGCAGUAGGGAAUCUUCCGCAAUGGACGAAAGUCUGACGGAGCAACGCCGCGUGAACGAUGAAGGCCUUCGGGUCGUAAAGUUCUGUUGUUAGGGAAGAACAAGUGCUAGUUGAAUAAGCUGGCACCUUGACGGUACCUAACCAGAAAGCCACGGCUAACUACGUGCCAGCAGCCGCGGUAAUACGUAGGUGGCAAGCGUUGUCCGGAAUUAUUGGGCGUAAAGCGCGCGCAGGCGGUUUCUUAAGUCUGAUGUGAAAGCCCCCGGCUCAACCGGGGAGGGUCAUUGGAAACUGGGAAACUUGAGUGCAGAAGAGGAAAGUGGAAUUCCAAGUGUAGCGGUGAAAUGCGUAGAGAUUUGGAGGAACACCAGUGGCGAAGGCGACUUUCUGGUCUGUAACUGACGCUGAGGCGCGAAAGCGUGGGGAGCAGACAGGAUUAGAUACCCUGGUAGUCCACGCUGUAAACGAUGAGUGCUAAGUGUUAGAGGGUUUUCCGCCCUUUUAGUGCUGAAGUUAACGCAUUAAGCACUCCGCCUGGGGGAUACGGUCGCAAGACUGAAACUCAAAGGAAUUGACCGGNNGAGAGNGCGAGACGACGACGAGGGAGAGG
rnacentral:rRNA from 1 species